GGGGUGUAGCUCAGGGGUAGAGCAUCUGCCUUUUAAGCAGGUUGUCGAUGGUUCGAUUCCAUCCACCCU
rnacentral:tRNA from 1 species